rnacentral:sRNA from 1 species
AAAAGGCCUGAAGAUUCCUGGCUUAGAGCACGCGAGCAUUGAAGGACCAAUAGCAGUAAGUAAAAGACAUCACUUUUAAGAACUAUAAGCAAAAUGACAAGGUACUGGGAAAUCAAACUUUGAAUUGAAUCACUCAGUGGGCAUCUGUGCUACUUACUAAAUGGACUUGAAUUUAGAUAGCUCCUUUUCUUACUUGACCCAGAAUUUAUCAGUACUUGGAACAGAAGAACUUCGCCAACGAGAACACUAUCUCAAGCAGAAGAGAGAUAAGUUGAUGUCCAUGAGAAAGGAUAUGACGACUAAACAGAUACAAAAUAUGGAGCAGAAAGGAAAACCCACUGGGGAGGUGGAGGAAAUGACAGAGAAACCAGAAAUGACAGCAGAGGAGAAGCAAACAUUACUAAAGAGGAGAUUGCUUGCAGAGAAACUCAAAGAAGUUAUUAAUAAGUAAUAAUUAAGAACAAUUUAACAAAAUGGAAGUUCAAAUUGUCUUAAAAAUAAAUUAUUUAGUCCUUACA